rnacentral:lncRNA from 1 species
AGGGAGGUCAGGAAGUGGGUGUGGGUUUCCCUGGGUCAGGUUUCUCCAGCCUCAGUUCUUGUAGCUGAGAAAGGGGAUGGCAGCUGUUGGUUUAGGGGAAAUAGGUGUGGCAGGCUCUGCACCUCUCUGAGCCUUUGUCCUUUCCUGUAUGGCUGGUUUGGCUUCUGUGACUCCAGGCCUACGAAUGACCCCUUCUUUGUAAAUACACCGAAUCCUCAGGGGCUCACGUAGUUCAACAUUCUGGAUUUACAAGAGACCUACUGAGCUCUAAGAGCCGGCGGGGCCCCAAUUAGCUGUGGUGUUUCUAAAACGGUGCUCCUGAUGAGAGAGCACAGGCCAAAAGAGUUAAGGAUGAUGGGUGGACAUCUGGAAAGAUGCAGGCUGAGUUCUCACAGGGCAGCAGAUGUGGCCUAGAUGAGAAACGUUCUCCUUAAUCUCAGGCCUUUGCGGCCUAGGUUCCCCAGUUUGUGGUGCUCUUUGGGGAGUCUUAAGUGGUGCAAUCUUGCUGGAGGAGGUGGUCACGCGGGCAGGGGUCGGGAGGGGUGUGCUUUUUUUUUUUGUCAACUUGACACAAAUAUAGACAAGAUAGGAGCACAGAAUCUUAAUUGAGAAAAUGUUUCCAUAAGAAACAGCCGUCAGGCCUUUACCCAAUUAGAGAUUGAUGGGGAGAGUCCCACCCAUUGUGGGUGGGGCCAGCCCAUUGUGGGUGGAGCCAUCCGUGGCCAGGUGGUCCUAGGUUCUCUGAGAAAGCAAGCUGGGUAAGCCAUGGGUUGCAGGCCAGUAAGCGGCACCCCUCCGCCGCCUCUGCGUCAGUUCCUGCUUCCAGGUUCCUGUCCUGCUUGGGUUCCUGUAGCUGCGAAGAGCAGGGAUACAGAAGUUGCACUCUCCCGGUUGCACGGCUGUGGGUGAGGAUGUGAGCUCUUAGCUUCCUGCCUCCGGCUGCCAUGAUUCCCUACAGCAAUGGACUAUCCCCCCUCUGGAAACUUAAGCCCAAAUAAACUCACCUGUGCUCUCCUGGGCUUGGGGUUCUAUCGUAGCAACAGAAAAAAGUAACCAAGUCGGGGCUGGGGAGCCAGUGUUGGAAGGGUGCAUUGGGCAAAGGGAGCUUGCUCGGCGCCAGCACAUCUUCUAACCCUCCAGGUAGCCGGUGGUAAACAUGGGCGUUUGAUAGCUCAGGUAACACCUGCUCCUCCACCCCACCCUGGUCCUACGCAGUACUCGCUAAGGCAUCAAAUCCAAGUCUUAAAUUCUGUGUUGACACCGAGAUUCAGAGGUACAGCUGCUAGCCCAGGUCAAUUAAAAUGACUAAAAUUCCUGCUAGAUGUGUUCUGACCGUUUUUCUGACCGAGCUCUGAGCUGCUCCCCUUCCCAGGUCACCC